rnacentral:rRNA from 1 species
AACGAACGCUGGCGGCAUGCCUAACACAUGCAAGUCGAACGAUGCCUUCGGGUCUAGUGGCGCACGGGUGCGUAACGCGUGGGAACCUGCCCUUAGGUUCGGAAUAACUCCCCGAAAGGGGUGCUAAUACCGGAUAAUGUCUUCGGACCAAAGAUUUAUCGCCUUUGGAUGGGCCCGCGUUGGAUUAGCUAGUUGGUAGGGUAAAAGCCUACCAAGGCGACGAUCCAUAGCUGGUCUGAGAGGAUGAUCAGCCACACUGGGACUGAGACACGGCCCAGACUCCUACGGGAGGAAGCAGUGGGGAAUAUUGGACAAUGGGCGAAAGCCUGAUCCAGCAAUGCCGCGUGAGUGAUGAAGGCCUUAGGGUUGUAAAGCUCUUUUACCCGGGAUGAUAAUGACAGUACCGGGAGAAUAAGCUCCGGCUAACUCCGUG